rnacentral:rRNA from 1 species
CCUACGGGCGGCAGCAGUGGGGAAUAUUGGACAAUGGGGGCAACCCUGAUCCAGCCAUGCCGCGUGUGUGAAGAAGGCCCUCGGGUUGUAAAGCACUUUCAGUGAGGAAGAACGCCUGGUGGUUAAUACCCAUCAGGAAAGACAUCACUCACAGAAGAAGCACCGGCUAACUCCGUGCCAGCAGCCGCGGUAAUACGGAGGGUGCGAGCGUUAAUCGGAAUUACUGGGCGUAAAGCGCGCGUAGGUGGCUUGAUAAGCCGGUUGUGAAAGCCCCGGGCUCAACCUGGGAACGGCAUCCGGAACUGUCAAGCUAGAGUGCAGGAGAGGAAGGUAGAAGUCCCGGUGUAGCGGUGAAAUGCGUAGAGAUCGGGAGGAAUACCAGUGGCGAAGGCGGCCUUCUGGACUGACACUGCCACUGAGGUGCGAAAGCGUGGGUAGCAAACAGGAUUAGAUACCCGAGUAGUC